ACGGAGGGUGCGAGCGUUGCUCGGAAUUAUUGGGCGUAAAGCGUACGCAGGCGGCCGAUCAAGUCGAGUGUGAAAUCCCGGGGCUCAACCCCGGACAUGCAUUCGAGACUGACUGGCUUGAGUGCGGGAGAGGGAAGCGGAAUUCCUGGUGUAGAGGUGAAAUUCGUAGAUAUCAGGAGGAACACCGGUGGCGAAAGCGGCUUCCUGGCCCGACACUGACGCUCAUGUACGAAAGCGUGGGGAGCAAACAGGA
rnacentral:rRNA from 1 species